rnacentral:rRNA from 1 species
UAGUCCACGCUGUAACCGAUGUCUACUUGGAGGUUGUUGUCUUGAAUGAUGGCUUUCGGAGCUAACGCGUUAAGUAGACCGCCUGGGGAGUACGGCCGCAAGGUUAAAACUCAAAUGAAUUGACGGGGGCCCGCACAAGCGGUGGAGCAUGUGGUUUAAUUCGAUGCAACGCGAAGAACCUUACCUACUCUUGACAUCUAGAGAAGCUUGCAGAGAUGCGAGUGUGCCUUCGGGAACUCUAAGACAGGUGCUGCAUGGCUGUCGUCAGCUCGUGUUGUGAAAUGUUGGGUUAAGUCCCGCAACGAGCGCAACCCUUAUCCUUGUUUGCCAGCACGUAAUGGUGGGAACUCCAGGGAGACUGCCGGUGAUAAACCGGAGGAAGGUGGGGACGACGUCAAGUCAUCAUGGCCCUUACGAGUAGGGCUACACACGUGCUACAAUGCCCAGUACAAUGAGAACCGAUCCCGCGAGGAGGAGGAAAUCUACAAAGCUGGGCUCAGUUCGGAGUUGG